CUGGGAUGACUGGCUGAUUUUCCUCCUUUUUUAAGGAUCUGAAUGAGGAGAAAGGAAGGAAGAUCACUCAAACAAGCAAGACAGGAAGAACAUCACCAGGGCUCUGGUAAUAUUGAUGUUUGAGAUGACAUCCCCAUAGACUAGAAGAAAGUCAGAGCGGACCAAGG